GCCUGGAUAGUUCAGUUGGUAGGGGCAUCAGACUUUUAAUCUGAGGGUCCAGGGUUCAAGUCUCUGUUCAGGUG
rnacentral:tRNA from 1 species